AACGGCCAUACCAUGCGGAAUAUAUCGGCUCUCAUUAGAUCACCGAAGUCAAGAAUCAUUGGGCGCGGUCAGUACUUGGGUGGGUGACCACCUGGGAACACCGCGUGCCGUU
rnacentral:rRNA from 1 species